rnacentral:snRNA from 1 species
GGAUGUGAGGGCAUCUGGCUCUGACAUCUGUUGCUCUGACAUCCAUUGAUUGCCAGGGUUGAUUGAGCUGAUCUGGCUGGCUAGGCAGCUGUCCCCUUCCUCCCUCACUGCACCAUGUGUGUCCCUCCAGAAGCUGUGCCCUUGGUCAGAGAGACCUUUCCUGAAUAGAGAAAGACCAGUCUUCAGUUGAGGGGAUAUGAGUAGCUGCACUCCCCUCCAAAUAAGCUCUCAAGAAUUUGGAAAGAAAAUCAAUUUUGUUCAUAUUCCAGCCUAUAAUACUAAAGAUAUAAAUUAUA